rnacentral:rRNA from 1 species
UACGGGGGGAGCAAGCGUUGUUCGGAUUUACUGGGCGUAAAGGGCGCGUAGGCGGCCACCGCAAGUCGACUGUGAAAUCUCCGGGCUUAACCCGGAAAGGUCAGCCGAUACUGCGGGGCUAGAGUGCAGAAGGGGCAACUGGAAUUCUCGGUGUAGCGGUGAAAUGCGUAGAUAUCGAGAGGAACACCGGUGGCGAAGGCGGCCACCUGGACGGUCACUGACGCUGAGACGCGAAAGCGUGGGUAGCAAACAGG